GCCCGGUCUCUUUGCCUCCGGUUCUUAAACCAGUUGCUGACCUGGGUGGUGGUGAGGCCGGUGG
ensembl:miRNA